GUAGGAGAUGGUAGAAUGAUAUGCAGUAGAUGAAGGAGUAUGAGGGCUUUAUUCCAAUCCAAUAAAUUUUUUAGGCCUAAACCACCUUCAUUUGUAGGAUGAGUGAUAGUUGACCGAGCUACUUUUGCCCCAAAUUUUGCAAGAGAGGAGCCCGUCCAUAAGAAUCGGCAAAGAACAGAUUGUAUAGCACGAAGAACUGCCUUGGGUAGUAUGAAAUGACUGCACCAAUAGGAUUGCAUAGAGAAAAGGAUAGAUUUU
rnacentral:lncRNA from 1 species